GAUGAACGCUAGCGGGAGGCCUAACACAUGCAAGCCGAGCGGUAUUGUUUCUUAGGAAAUGAGAGAGCGGCGUACGGGUGCGGAACACGUGUGCAACCCGCCUUUAUCUGGGGGAUAGCCUUUCGAAAGGAAGAUUAAUUCUCCAUAAUAUAAUGACCGGCAUCGCUUAACUUUAAAAGCUUCGGCGGAUAGAGUUGGGCACGCGCAAGAUUAGCUAGUUGGUGAGGUAAAGGCUCACCAAGGCGAUGAUCUUUAGAGGGCCUGAGAGGGGGAUCCCCCACACUGGUACUGGGACACGGACCAGACUCCUACGGGAGGCAGCAGUGAGGAAUAUUGGUCAGUGGGUGCAAGCCUGAACCAGCCAUCCCGCGUGAAGGACGACUGCCCUAUGGGUUGUAAACUUCUUUUGUAUAGGGAUAAACCUACUCUCGUGAGGGUAGCUGAAGGUACUAUACGAAUAAGCACCGGCUAACUCCGUGCCAGCCGCCGCGGUAAAAC
rnacentral:rRNA from 1 species